AACGAACGCUGGCGGCAUGCCUAACACAUGCAAGUCGAACGAAGUCUUCGGACUUAGUGGCGCACGGGUGCGUAACGCGUGGGAAUCUGCCCUUGGGUACGGAAUAACUCAGAGAAAUUUGUGCUAAUACCGUAUAAUGUCUUCGGACCAAAGAUUUAUCGCCCAAGGAUGAGCCCGCGUAAGAUUAGCUAGUUGGUGGGGUAAAAGCCUACCAAGGCGACGAUCUUUAGCUGGUCUGAGAGGAUGAUCAGCCACACUGGGACUGAGACACGGCCCAGACUCCUACGGGAGGCAGCAGUGGGGAAUAUUGGACAAUGGGCGAAAGCCUGAUCCAGCAAUGCCGCGUGAGUGAUGAAGGCCUUAGGGUUGUAAAGCUCUUUUACCCGACGAUGAUAAUGACAGUAUCGGGAGAAUAAGCUCCGGCUAACUACGUGCCAGCAGCCGCGGU
rnacentral:rRNA from 1 species